GUACUUGCUUCAGCAACACAUAUACUAAAAUUGGAACAACAGGGAGAAGAUUAGCAUGGCCCCUGUACAAGGAUGACACGCAAAUUCGUGAAGCAUUCUAUAUUUUU
ensembl:snRNA U6 U6 spliceosomal RNA